rnacentral:rRNA from 1 species
GACGAACGCUGGCGGCGUGCUUAACACAUGCAAGUCGAACGGAAAGGCCCUGCUUUUGUGGGGUGCUCGAGUGGCGAACGGGUGAGUAACACGUGAGUAACCUGCCCUUGACUUUGGGAUAACUUCAGGAAACUGGGGCUAAUACCGGAUAGGAGCUCCUGCUGCAUGGUGGGGGUUGGAAAGUUUCGGCGGUUGGGGAUGGACUCGCGGCUUAUCAGCUUGUUGGUGGGGUAGUGGCUUACCAAGGCUUUGACGGGUAGCCGGCCUGAGAGGGUGACCGGCCACAUUGGGACUGAGAUACGGACCAGACUCCUACGGGAGGCAGCAGUGGGGAAUAUUGCACAAUGGGGGGAAGCCUGAUGCAGCAACGCCGCGUGCGGGAUGACGGCCUUCGGGUUGUAAACCGCUUUCGCCUGUGACGAAGCGUGAGUGACGGUAAUGGGUAAAGAAGCACCGGCUAACUACGUG